AGAUGGCAGCCGUUCAACCUGUGAAGAAUCAGCAUUUCAACACAGGGCUUGAGAAUUGGUCGCAGCAGAUGGCCACCCACCAUGAUCCGGGUCCUGCUCAAGGUUUCUGCCACAGGCAGUUUUUCCUUGCCACCGUUGCCAAGUGCUUGGUCAUGCUGGGAAUUGUAAUGGAGAUUUUUCAAACUGUCAUCACAGAACUUUAUGAUUACAACACUAUAAUAAACACUUUGUUAAUAU